rnacentral:rRNA from 1 species
GACGAACGCUAGCGGCGUGCCUAAGGUAUGCAAGUCGAACGGGGGCUUCGGCCCCACGUGGCGCACGGUCGAGUAACACGUAGACAACCUGCCUUCCAGUGGGGGACGAACUCCGGGAAACUGGGGCGUAAUACCGCAUGGGGCGCGAGGGGGAAGUCCUCUCGAUGCUAAAGCUCGCAAGGGCGCUGGGAGAUGGGUCGUGCGGCCUAUCAGCUAGCUGGUGAGGUAACGGCUCACCAGGGCGACGACGGGUAGCGGGUCUGAGAGGAUGAUCCGCCGGACGGGGACGUGA